UACGUAGGGGGCAAGCGUUGUCCGGAAUCAUUGGGCGUAAAGAGCGUGUAGGCGGCUCGGUAAGUCCGCUGUGAAAGUCCAGGGCUCAACCCUGGAAUGCCGGUGGAACUGUCGAGCUAGAGUCCGGAAGAGGCGAGUGGAAUCCUGGUGUAGCGGUGAAAUGCGCAGAUAUCAGGAGGAACACCAAUGGCGAAGGCAGCUCGCUGGGACGUGACUGAGCUGAGACGCGAAAGCGUGGGGAGCAAACAGG
rnacentral:rRNA from 1 species